GAUCCUGGCUCAGGACGAACGCUGGCGGCGUGCUUAACACAUGCAAGUCGAACGAGAGGACAAGAGAAGCUUGCUUCUUUUGGAAUCGAGUGGCGAACGGGUGAGUAACACGUAAACAACCUGCCUUCAGGAUGGGGACAACAGACGGAAACGACUGCUAAUACCGAAUACGCUUGGGAGACCGCAUGAUCUUCCAAGGAAAGGGUGGCCUCUACCUGUAAGCUAUCGCCUGAAGAGGGGUUUGCGU
rnacentral:rRNA from 1 species